UUUUUUUCUUUUCGCUGUUGGUAAAGUGGGAUUAUCUAUUGCCUGUAUGUUUCUGGUUGUAAUUAACAUCCUUGGGUUGCAGUUUUCCUUCCAGAAUUUUCUGUAGGGCUGGAUUAGUGGGUAUAUGCAUUUUUUAAAUCUGAUUUUGUCAUGGAAUAUCUUGUUUUCUCCAUCUAUAUUGAUUGAAAGCUUUGCUGGGUAUAGUAGUCUGGGCUGGCAUCCGUGGUCUCUUAGUGUAGAUAGAAUAUCUAUCCAGGUCCUUCUAGCUUUCAGAGUUUCCAUGGAGAAGUGUGGUGUAAUUCUGAUAGAUUUGCCUUUAUAUGUUACUUGGCCAUUUUCCUUUGCUGCUCUUAAUAUUUUCUCUUUAUUCUGUAUGUUUGGGGUUUUGAUUAUUAUGUGGUGAUGACACCUUUUGUUUUGGUUGAGUCUAUUUGGUGCUCUGGAGGCUUCUUGUACUUUCAUUGGCAUGUCUUUCUUUAGGGUGGGAAAGUUUUCUUCUAUGAUUUUGUUGAAUAUGUUUUUUGUGCCUUUGAGUUGGAUUUCUUCACCUUCUUCUAAACCUAUUAUUUUCAGGUUUGGUCUUCUCAUGGUGUCUCAUAUUUCCUGGAUAUUUUGUGUUAGGGAUUUGUUGGAGUUAAGAUUUUCUUUGGUUGAUGAGUCUAUUUCUCCUAGUGUAUCUCCAACUCCUGAGAUCCUCUCUUCCAUCUCUUGUAUUCUGUUUGUUAUGCUUGCAUCUUUUGUUCCUGAUAGCUUACCCAGCAUUUCUAUUUCCAGCAUUCCCUCAGAUUGUGCUUUCUUUAUUGUCUCUAUUUCAGUUUUUGGGUCUUGGACUGUUUCCUUGAAUGAUUUGUUGAUAUCUUGUAUUCUUUGGUUUGUUUUUUCUUCCACUUCCUUAAGGGAUUUUCUCAUGUCCUCUUUGAGGUCCUCUAUCAUUUUCAUGAAGAUGUUUUUAAGGUCAUUCUCUUCUGCUUCAUGUGCAUUGUGAUGUUCAAGUCUUGCUGGUGCAUGGUCCCUUGUCUCCAGUGGUAUCAUACUGGUUUUUCUGUUGUUGAAUGUGCUUUGAUAUUGUCUUCUUCCCAUCCUUUUUUCUGGUAGGUGUAGCAAGAGUCUCUUCCUCUCCUGGUGUGUGUGGGACCAAGUUUCCCUCCUGGUAGAUGCAAACAGUUCCAAUACUCUGAUGUCUGUCCUCUUCUCCUGGAUGAAGAUUUAUCUCAAGUGCUUCUCAUGGCAUUGAACAGUGUGACUAAGAUAUUUUCCUACCUA
rnacentral:lncRNA from 1 species